UAAAGUUUAUUGCCAUUCAUAAGAGUCUCGAUUCGCUUUCAUGUGUCAGUUUUAUUUCUAUCUGAAUAUUAUAAUUAUUUUUUCUAGAAUUUUAUUUUUUUUUGGAAUUUAGUUUCAAAAAGUAACCGAUGGAUUUUUGGAUAGAAGCAAAAAUAACAUAUGACAGCAAAUCGUGGAUUCUCCAACAAGACAUCAUUAGAGAAUUCCCUACUGAAGUUUGAUUCGUCAUAAAUGUCAGCGAUUGAGUUUAUUGAUCGACUUUUCCUUUUUCAUCAAUAUUUGUGAAGUAAUCUGCGCAUUGCGGCGGGCUAAUUAUAUAAAAGAUAGAAGAUUGAUAUAGUAAAAAUUUUAAAAUUUUUUGACUUGUCAUAAGACAUCAAUGAAUACAUAGUAUAAAAAAAAAAUAGUACGAAGAGAUAUUAUUUUAUUUAUUAGGUUUUAGUAUUAAAAAAUACCUAAUAUUUUCUUGAAUA
rnacentral:lncRNA from 1 species